AUUGAACGCUGGCGGCAGGCCUAACACAUGCAAGUCGAACGGUAGCACAGUGAGCUUUCUCUCUUGUGGUGAGCGGCGGACGGGUGAGUAAUGUCUGGAAAACUGUCCUAUGGUGCGGGGGGACUAACGGAAACGGACUCAAAUUACGACUAAUGACGCUCUACCACAGAGGGCAGGUGUGCGCCCCACGUCUUCCGAUGGGACCAGGUGGGAUUAGCUAGUUGGUGAGGUAAUGGCACACCAAGGCGACGAUACGUAGCUGGGCUGAGAGGAUGAGCGGCCACACUGGAACUGAGACACGGUCCAGACUCCUACGGGAGGCAGCAGUGGGGAAUAUUGCACAAUGGGCGCAAGCCUGAUGCAGCCAUGCCGCGUGAGUGAAGAAGGCCUUCGGAUUGUAAAGCCCUUUUGUUAGGGAAGAAGAGGAGCCGGUUAAUACCCGCAUGUAUUGACGGUACCCAAAGAAUAAGCACCGGCUAACUUCGUG
rnacentral:rRNA from 1 species